UUCCGGUUGAUCCUGCCGGACCCCACUGCUAUCGAGAUGGGACUAAGGUAUGCUAGUCGAACGACCAGAACUAUGUCUGGAAGUGGCACACUGCUCAGUAACACGUAGCUAACCUACCCUUAGGACGUGGAUACCCCCGAGAAAUUGGGGUUAAUCCGCGAUAGGUGUAAUGUCCUGGAAUGGUAUUACGCCUAAAGGUGUAUCAUACAUGUUUGAUAUACGCCUAAGGAUGGGGCUGCGGCCUAUCAGGCUGUUGGUGAGGUAAUGGCUCACCAAACCUUUGACCGGUACGGGCCAUGAGAGUGGUAGCCCGGAGAUGGACACUGAGACAAGGGUCCAGGCCCUAAGGGGCGCAGCAACCGCGAAACCUCCACAAUGCACUCACGUGCGAUGGGGCUAUCUCGAGUGCCACCUGAUGAAGGUGGCUUUUCCUAGGUCUUCAAAGCCUUGGGAAUAAGAGGGGGGCAAGACUGGUGUCAGCCGCCGCGGUAACACCAGCCCCUCGAGUGGUGGGGAUGAUUAUUUGGCCUAAAGCGUCCGUAGCCGGCCGAGCAAGUCUUCCGUUAAAUCCAGCGUCUCAAGCGUUGGACUGCGGGAGAUACUACACGGCUAGAGAGUGGGAGAGGUCAGCGGUAUUCUGGGGGUAGGGGCGAAAUCCUUUGAUCCCCGGAGGACCACCAGUGGCGAAGGCUGCUGACUAGAACACGUCUGACGGUCAGGGACGAAAGCUGGGGUAGCGAACCGGAUUAGAUACCCGGGUAGUCCCAGCCGUAAACGAUGCAUGCUAGGUGUUGGGUUGGCCACGAGCCACCCCAGUGCCGCAGGGAAGCCGUUAAGCAUGCCGCCUGGGAAGUACGAUCGCAAGAUUGA
rnacentral:rRNA from 1 species